GUGGGGAAUAUUGCACAAUGGGCGAAAGCCUGAUGCAGCGACGCCGCGUGAGGGAUGACGGCCUUCGGGUUGUAAACCUCUUUCAGCAGGGAAGAAGCGAAAGUGACGGUACCUGCAGAAGAAGCACCGGCUAACUACGUGCCAGCAGCCGCGGUAAUACGUAGGGUGCGAGCGUUGUCCGGAAUUAUUGGGCGUAAAGAGCUUGUAGGCGGUUUGUCGCGUCUGCUGUGAAAAUCCGGGGCUCAACCCCGGACUUGCAGUGGGUACGGGCAGACUAGAGUGUGGUAGGGGAGACUGGAAUUCCUGGUGUAGCGGUGAAAUGCGCAGAUAUCAGGAGGAACACCGAUGGCGAAGGCAGGUCUCUGGGCCACUACUGACGCUGAGAAGCGAAAGCAUGGGGAGCGAACAGGAUUAGAAACCCUAGUAGUCCC
rnacentral:rRNA from 1 species